rnacentral:rRNA from 1 species
UUUUCGGACAAUGGAUGUAGAGGAAAGUGGCGGACGGGUGAGUAACGCGUGAGGAACCUGCCUUGAAGAGGGGGACAACAGUUGGAAACGACUGCUAAUACCGCAUGAUGCAUAGGGGUCGCAUGAUCUUUAUGCCAAAGAUUUAUCGCUUCAAGAUGGCCUCGCGUCUGAUUAGCUAGUUGGCGGGGUAACGGCCCACCAAGGCGACGAUCAGUAGCCGGACUGAGAGGUUGAACGGCCACAUUGGGACUGAGAUACGGCCCAGACUCC